UACGUAGGGUGCAAGCGUUAAUCGGAAUUACUGGGCGUAAAGCGUGCGCAGGCGGUGAUGUAAGACAGGUGUGAAAUCCCCGGGCUUAACCUGGGAACUGCAUUUGUGACUGCAUCGCUGGAGUGCGGCAGAGGGGGAUGGAAUUCCACGUGUAGCAGUGAAAUGCGUAGAGAUGUGGAGGAACACCGAUGGCGAAGGCAGCCCCCUGGGUCAAGAUUGACGCUCAUGCACGAAAGCGUGGGGAGCAAACAGGA
rnacentral:rRNA from 1 species